GUGAGGAAUAUUGGACAAUGGGCGCAAGCCUGAUCCAGCCAUGCCGCGUGCAGGAAGACGCAUCUAUGGUGUGUAAACUGCUUUUGUACGGGAAGAAACACUCCCUCGUGAGGGAGCUUGACGGUACCGUAAGAAUAAGGAUCGGCUAACUCCGUGCCAGCAGCCGCGGUAAUACGGAGGAUCCAAGCGUUAUCCGGAAUCAUUGGGUUUAAAGGGUCCGUAGGCGGUUUAAUAAGUCAGUGGUGAAAGCCCAUCGCUCAACGAUGGAACGGCCAUUGAUACUGUUAGACUUGAAUUACAAGGAAGUAACUAGAAUAUGUAGUGUAGCGGUGAAAUGCUUAGAGAUUACAUGGAAUACCAAUUGCGAAGGCAGGUUACUACUUGUGGAUUGACGCUGAUGGACGAAAGCGUGGGGAGCGAACAGGAUUAGAUACCCCAGUAGUCC
rnacentral:rRNA from 1 species